AUCCCAUGAUGAGGACACUUACGAAGUAACUCCUUGAAUCGCUCCCAAGCCUCAUACAAAGACUGUAACACCUUGAAUUUGGGCCU
rnacentral:snoRNA from 1 species